CAAUGUCUAUAUCCUGUUAGGUUUUGAUUUAAACAGAAACAGAUUAACUGUUUAGGCUAAUAGUGAAUUAUCUUUGUUUUCAGUUUUCAGAAUUUCACUGGUCCAGUUGACAAGAGAAAUUUAGGGCUUGAUGCACAACAUGUWGCAACACAUCCAAUAAUGGAACCAGCAAAGACAAAUAUAGUGCCCAACCCAUUGAUAAUCAUCAGACACAGGAAAAUGGCCUCAAUAGCACUGAUCCAGGAACAGUCUUCCACUGUAGAAAGAAGGUGACAAUGACAUGAAAAAGGUGGACAUAUAUUAUAACUUUCUAGACUUAGAUAGUGAUAGAGAGUGCAAAAUACAAAAGCCAACCAUAAAGCAUUGAUCUACAAUUUGUUGAGCUUGGAAUACAUUUCGAAAGAAACAAUAAAGUGGAUGCAGCAAAAUAUUAA